rnacentral:rRNA from 1 species
CACGUAGGGGGCAAGCGUUGUCCGGAAUCAUUGGGCGUAAAGAGCUCGUAGGCGGCUCAGUAAGUCGGGUGUGAAACCCUCAGGCUCAACCUGGGGGACGCCACCCGAUACUGCUGUGGCUAGAGUCCAGUAGGGGAGUGUGGAAUUCCCGGUGUAGCGGUGAAAUGCGUAGAUAUCAAGAGGAACACCUGAGGUGAAGACGGGUUGCUGGGCUGACACUGACGCUGAGGCGCGAAAGCCAGGGGAGCAAACGGG